UACCACUUCCCCUUGGGACUCAUCUCGCGCGAAGUGUGCACGCAGUGCAUGGAGCUUCUGCGAGUCAUCCUCGACCGACCAGUGCCCGAUGUGGCAAACCAAGUGGACGAAGAUGAACGACCUGAGCUACCUUGGUGGAAGUGCAAAAAGUGGGCCUUCCACAUCGUCACAGGCAUCUUUGAGAGGUCAGGCAGCGCUGC
rnacentral:lncRNA from 1 species